AGAGUUUGAUCCUGGCUCAGAGCGAACGCUGGCGGCAGGCUUAACACAUGCAAGUCGAGCGGGCGUAGCAAUACGUCAGCGGCAGACGGGUGAGUAACGCGUGGGAACAUACCUUUUGGUUCGGAACAACACAGGGAAACUUGUGCUAAUACCGGAUAAGCCCUUACGGGGAAAGAUUUAUCGCCGAAAGAUUGGCCCGCGUCUGAUUAGCUAGUUGGUGAGGUAACGGCUCACCAAGGCGACGAUCAGUAGCUGGUCUGAGAGGAUGAUCAGCCACAUUGGGACUGAGACACGGCCCAAACUCCUACGGGAGGCAGCAGUGGGGAAUAUUGGACAAUGGGCGCAAGCCUGAUCCAGCCAUGCCGCGUGAGUGAUGAAGGCCCUAGGGUUGUAAAGCUCUUUU
rnacentral:rRNA from 1 species